rnacentral:misc_RNA from 1 species
GAUGAAGAACGUAGCGAAAUGCGAUACGUAAUGUGAAUUGCAGAAUUCAGUGAAUCAUCGAAUCUUUGAACGCAUAUUGCGCUCUCUGGUAUUCCGGAGAGCAUGCUUGUUUGAGUAUCAGUAAACACCUCAACUUCCAUAUCUUUUUUGAAAUGGGAGUUGGACUUGAGUGAUCCCAACGCUUUUCCUCACCGAAAAGUGGCGGGUUACUUGAAAUGCAGGUGCAGCUGGACAUUCUCCUGAGCUAAAAGCAUAUUCAUUUAGUCCCGUCAAACGGAUUAUUACUUUUGCUGCAGCUAACAUAAAGGGAGUUUGACCGUAUUGGCUGACUGAUGCAGGAUUUCACAAGGGUCGGCAACGAUUCUUGUUAAACUCGAUCUCAAAUCAAGUAAGACUACCCGCUGAACUUAAGCAUAUCAAUAAGCGGAGGA